AUGGGAGGGCCGUGGAUUGUGAUUGGAGAUUUUAAUCUCAUCACAGAUCCAAAGGACAAAAGCAACAACAGAAUCUGUCGCCGAUGGAUGAAUAACUUUCGACGCACACUUAUCAGAUCAUGCUUGCAUGAGAUACAGUUGAUCGGCCGGCGGUUCACAUGGAGUAAUGAACAAAGCACACCAAUGCUCGUGAGGUUGGAUCGU
rnacentral:rRNA from 1 species